UACGAAGGGGGCUAGCGUUGUUCGGAAUUACUGGGCGUAAAGCGCACGUAGGCGGAUAUUUAAGUCAGGGGUGAAAUCCCAGAGCUCAACUCUGGAACUGCCUUUGAUACUGGGUAUCUUGAGUAUGGAAGAGGUAAGUGGAAUUGCGAGUGUAGAGGUGAAAUUCGUAGAUAUUCGCAGGAACACCGGUGGCGAAGGCGGCUCGCUGGGCCGUUGCUGACGCUGAGGCGCGAAAGCGUGGGGAGCAAACAGG
rnacentral:rRNA from 1 species